UACGUAGGGUGCGAGCGUUAAUCGGAAUUACUGGGCGUAAAGGGUGCGCAGGCGGUUUUGUAAGCCAGAUGUGAAAUCCCCGGGCUUAACCUGGGAAUGGCAUUUGGGACUGCAAGGCUUGAGUGCGGCAGAGGAGACUGGAAUUCCUGGUGUAGCAGUGAAAUGCGUAGAUAUCAGGAGGAAUACCGAUGGCGAAGGCAGGUCUCUGGGCUGACACUGACGCUCAUGCACGAAAGCGUGGGGAGCAACAGG
rnacentral:rRNA from 1 species